AUCACUUCUCAGCCUUUUGGCUAAGAUCAAGUGUAGUAUCUAUGACAUAGUGCUGGAAACUGAGCCUCAUCUAUUUCCCAACUUUGUUUUAUAUUGAUCCAUU
rnacentral:snRNA from 1 species